GGACUACUGGGGUUUCUAAUCCUGUUCGCUCCCCACGCUUUCGCUCCUCAGCGUCAGGUAAGGCCCAGAGAACCGCCUUCGCCACCGGUGUUCCUCCCGAUAUCUGCGCAUUUCACCGCUACACCGGGAAUUCCAUUCUCCCCUACCUACCUCUAGUCUGCCCGUAUCCACUGCAAGCCCAGGGUUGAGCCCUGGGUUUUCACAGCGGACGUGACGGACCGCCUACGAGCUCUUUACGCCCAAUAAUUCCGGACAACGCUUGCGCCCUACGUGUUACCGCGGCGGCUGGCAC
rnacentral:rRNA from 1 species